GAGGGGGACUGUCAGGGAAGGCCAGGCAUGGGGGUGCCUCAAUUUGUGGAAGAUGUUUGGGCCAUCUGGUGUUUGAGUGAAAGACUGGAAGAAACAUUCUGCUAUUUAAAGGACCAUAGAGUUAUUCUUUAAAGGUUUCAGAUGGCAGACUGCAACUGCAUAGUGUGGGCAUUCUUUUGGCUCAUUGUGCUGGUGUUUCUUGGCUGGCCCUUAAGCAUAAUCAUGUGUGCCCUUCAUGGAUUCCUUUCUCCUUUGGCUACUUUAAUAGGACUAGAUGAAUUAAGUGACGCGUUGCUGAAGGGUGCGUGUUUGGGGAGGCAGUGUGCUCAGAAUGUGCGCAAUGGCAAGUCCCCGUGUUAAGCAAUGAGGACAGUCCUGCAUCAGACAAGCACUCAACUGUAUACAACAGAAUUUCAUUGUUUACACUAUUAGUCUCAUAUUUUUUUUUUAACUCUAAAUAUUUUUCUUUGUAUUUCAGUGUGUACAUUUCUCUUUACAGUGUCUAGAAACCUUAACACUUCAAAGGCUUGUCUCUGAGAAUACAAAAUAAAAGUUGCAGCUAUUGUAUUCAAAUUGGGUACAAUUUCAAAACUGAUGCUGUGUACAUGGAGAAGGUAGCUAAGUGCUUAUCUCAGGAUUUGAGCUUAAUGUCAAAAUCUAGUUAAGUGGUUGAAAAUACUGCCUAAGAGAUGGAAUGCACCUAAUAGGUGGGACUAAGACACAUGAGAAGAAUAGAUGCUGAAUUGGAAAUUUAUUUUUGUGAAUAUUUUGAUCUCCAGUGUACAAUGCUCAGUAGUAAGAGAAAUAAAAUUCUGAUCUGAUAGUGUGCAUGUUUUCAUAUAAAUGUUUCAGUGCCUUCUUAGUUUAUUUCCUUUGCAAUAGACUUUAGAAAUAUUUUGUAUUAUGAUGUUGUCUUGUGUUAAUUUCUUGUGAACAACAGCUUUUCAGUGGAACAACAUUACUGAUGGGGGGGCUCUAUGCACUGAUUUCAAGUAUAUUAAAUAAAUAAAGAAUUUCUGUAAACACUUUC